GCCUGGGUGGCUUGGUCGGCUGAGCGUCCGACUUCAGCUCAGGUCAUGAUCUCAUGGUCUGUGGGUUCGAGCCUCACCUCUGGCU
rnacentral:tRNA from 1 species